UACGGAAGGCAGCAGUGGGGAAUAUUGCACAAUGGGCGCAAGCCUGAUGCAGCCAUGCCGCGUGUAUGAAAAAGGCCUUCGGGUUGUAAAGUACUUUCAGUCGUGAGGAAGGUGUUAAGGUUAAUAACCUUAGCAAUUGACGUUAGCGACAGAAGAAGCACCGGCUAACUCCGUGCCAGCAGCCGCGGUAAUACGGAGGGUGCGAGCGUUAAUCGGAAUUACUGGGCGUAAAGGGCACGCAGGCGGUUAAUUAAGUUGGAUGUGAAAUCCCCGGGCUUAACCUGGGAAUGGCAUUCAAGACUGGUUAGCUAGAGUCUUGUAGAGGGGGUUAGAAUUCCAUGUGUAGCGGUGAAAUGCGUAGAGAUGUGGAGGAAUACCGGUGGCGAAGGCGGCCCCUGGACAAAGACUGACGCUCAUGUGCGAAAGCUGGGGAGCAAC
rnacentral:rRNA from 1 species